CUAUUAUAAAUUUACAAGCAUGUUUAUAAUAUUUUAAAAUGAAUGAAUUGGCUCUUUGAAAUCACUAUAAUAUUAAUUUUUGUUAGAAAAAAACAAUUUUUUUUUAUCUUCAUCAACUAGGUGUGAGAUCCCUGCAUACUUAAUUUCUUGUCAUGUUUACAAGUUAUAUAAAUAUGUUUUAUUUCUUUCUUGUGUACAGAUUAUGGAGUACCUUCAGUUGCGAGAAGCUUCGGUGGUCCAGACUCACCUUUCCAGAAGUGUGUCCCAGGGUCUCCCAAAUACACCACGUCCACUCUCAACUCCUUAUCUGAACUACCAGAACGAGCAGGCUUUCGAGCAGAUGGGGAGAGCAGCUCGUCUCACUUUGUGUACCAAACCCCACAGCCCAUCACCCCUGCCCCGGCCCCGGCCCUGUCCCCCACCUCCCCGCGCUCCUUCAACCUGGAGGCUAACGGCAGCUCCUCUUCCUCCUGCCACACUGCUCCUCACCCACUGCCCAGAAAAACUCUGGUGAGAACAGAAAUCAUGAGCAGUGCAUGAACUGGAGAGAUGAAUAUCAUGUUGCUCACACGGUGGUCUUUCAUAGCUAAGGAGUUUUAAUGUUCUCAGUUUCAUUAGCCUUUUUUUGUCCCAGAUGUUUCUUCUGAAGUUCCUAAAGGAGAAAUAAAAAUAUAUCUACUUCACUUGGGUUUUUUUUCUUAGAAGAAAAUCUAAGCAGGAACCUUAAGAAAAAAAUGCCAUUUAAUUUAGAUCAGUCCAAUUUUUUAAUGUUUUUGUCAUGCUCCCCAAGGGUGCAUUUAUAUAUUUUGAUCGAAAAUGCAGUAAAAACAGUAACAUUGUUAAAUAUUAUUGUUUUCUCAGCUAAUUUUUUUCCAGCCAGUACUUCAGUUUUAAGUGUCACAUGAUCCUUUAGAAGUUAUGCUGAUUAUGCAUUCUAUUAUGCUGAUUUGCUGCUCUUCCUACUAUUAUUAUAAUUAUCAAUGUUGAAAACAGUUGUGCUGAUGGAUAUUUUUGUGGAAACGGUGAUACAUUUUUUUUUAGGAUUCUUUGAUGAAUAAAAAAAAAACAGCAUUUAUUUGAAAUAGAAAUCUUUUGUAACACUACAAAAGCCUUUACUGUUACAUUUGAUCAAUUUAAUGCGUUCUUGAUAAAUAAAAGUAUUCUAUUUUAAUCUUACAGGUGU
rnacentral:lncRNA from 1 species